rnacentral:rRNA from 1 species
GGGGGGGGGGGGGGGGGGGCCGGGGGCGGGCGGGGCGGGCGGAGGGGGGGGGGGGUGGCUGGUCGGGUGUUCGCGGCGGACGGGGGGGGGACGCGUGGAUGCCCUACCUAUAAGACUGGGAUAACUUCGGGAAACCGGAGCUAAUCCCGGCUAAUAUUUUGAACCGCGUGGUUCCAAAGUGCAAGACGGUCUUGCUGUCACUUAUCGAUGGAUCCGCGCUGCAUUAGCUAGUUGGUAAGGUAACGGCUUACCAAGGCAACGAUGCAUAGCCGACCUGAGGGGGUGAUCGGCCAGACUGGAACUGAGACACGGUCCAGACUCCUACGGGAGGCAGCAGUAGGGAAUCUUCCGCAAUGGGCGAAAGCCUGACGGAGCAACGCCGCGUGAGUGAUGAAGGUCUUCGGAUCGUAAAACUCUGUUAUUAGGGAAGAACAUAUGUGUAAGUAACUGUGCACAUCUUGACGGUACCUAAUCAGAAAGCCACGGCUAACUACGUG